ensembl:misc_RNA Metazoa_SRP Metazoan signal recognition particle RNA
GCCAGGCGUGGUGGUGUGCACCUGUAAUCCUAGCUACUUGGGAGGCUGAGGCAGGAGAAUUGCUUGAACCCGGGAGGCGGAGGUUGCAGUGAGCCAAGAUCCUGCCACUGCAUUCCAGCCUGGGUGACAGAGUGAGAUUCUGUCUCAA